rnacentral:rRNA from 1 species
UGCGUAGGUGGCUUAUCAAGCCAGGGGUGAAAGGCAUUGGCUCAACCAAUGUAAGCCUUUGGAACUGAUAGGCUUGAGUGCAGGAGAGGUAAGUGGAAUUCCUAGUGUAGAGGUGAAAUUCGUAGAUAUUAGGAGGAACACCAGCGGCGAAGGCGACUUACUGGACUGUAACUGACACUGAGGCACGAAAGCGUGGGUAGCGAACA